rnacentral:rRNA from 1 species
CGUAGGUGGCAAGCGUUGUCCGGAUUUACUGGGCGUAAAGGAUGCGUAGGUGGAUAUUUAAGUGGGAUGUGAAAUACCCGGGCUCAACUCGGGUGCUGCAUUCCAAACUGGAUAUCUAGAGUGCAGGAGAGGUAAGUGGAAUUCCUAGUGUAGCGGUGAAAUGCGUAGAGAUUAGGAAGAGCACCAGUGGCGAAGGCGACUUACUGGACUGUAACUGACACUGAGGCAUGAAAGCGUGGGGAGCAAACAGGAUUAGAUACCCUGGUAGUCCACGCCGUAAACGAUGGGUACUAGGUGUGGGAGGUAUCGACCCCUUCCGUGCCGCCGUUAACACAAUAAGUACCCCGCCUGGGGAGUACGGUCGCAAGAUUA